rnacentral:rRNA from 1 species
UAGUCCACGCCGUAAACGAUGAAUACUAGGUGUAGGGGUUGUCAUGACCUCUGUGCCGCCGCUAACGCAUUAAGUAUUCCGCCUGGGGAGUACGGUCGCAAGAUUAAAAACUCAAAGGAAUUGACGGGGGCCCGCACAAGCAGCGGAGCAUGUGGUUUAAUUCGAAGCAACGCGAAGAACCUUACCUAGACUUGACAUCUCCUGCAUUACUCUUAAUCGAGGAAGUCCCUUCGGGGACAGGAUGACAGGUGGUGCAUGGUUGUCGUCAGCUCGUGUCGUGAGAUGUUGGGUUAAGUCCCGCAACGAGCGCAACCUUAUUGUUAGUUGCCAUCAUUAAGUUGGGCACUCUAGCGAGACUGCCCGGGUUAACCGGGAGGAAGGUGGGGAUGACGUCAAAUCAUCAUGCCCUUAUGUCUAGGGCUACACACGUGCUACAAAUGGUCGGUACAAAUAAAGACGCAAAGCCCGCGAGGGGGAGCAAAAACUGGAAAAACCGAUCUCAGUUCGGAUUGUAGGCUGGAAAACUCGCCUACAAUGAAAGCUGGAGUUGC